GUAUGACGAACCGGCAGUGACGUUGCAUGGUCGUGGGUCACGAGAUUGCUGUGUUCAAUUUUCAUUUACCGUGCCCAAGUUUAAAAUUCAUAGCCAAGUUCCUGACUGAGGUCAGAAAAUUGCCUAACUUCCAAUCGGCUACUCACAAAACUAAGAGUCUCCACUGAAUGCCCAAUACCAGACAAGACCACUGGUUAGCACGUCAGACGAGGCAGAAUGUCAGAAGGAGAUAGGCCGCCACCGUACAGUCCGUAUGAUCCGCGCGUUGAGCAUGACAACCUCCAACAGAACCUUCAGCAGGGAAGCUCGCGUAAGGCGUAUGGCAGUACAGGCCAACAGCAGCAACAGCAGGAGCAGCAGCAGCAGCAGCAGCCACCACAAUACACGUACACAGACUUUGGGUAUCCCCAGGGCUACCAGGUGGUGGCGGGCAGCGUCGAGGAGUAUCGGGAGGGGGUGCCACCGCCCGGCUACGUGCCACAGAUGGCGUAUCCACAGCAGCAGCCGAGCACUGUGAUCGUACAGCCGAGCCACACGCAGGUCGUCUACGUCGGAGGAUGUCCGGCAUGCAGGGUGGGCGUGCUGGAGGAUGACUUCACGUGUCUCGGCAUAUGCUGUGCCGUGCUUCUCUUCCCACUCGGAAUCAUCUGCUGCCUCGCGAUGCGGCAACGACGCUGCCCCAACUGCGGUGCCGUAUUCGGAUAACCUGGCAUCACUCGCCACUCGCCAUAUCGUGGCCGACACUCGCUCUUCCUCGUAUCCUCGAACCCCGUCCUCACUGCAGACGCAUCGUGGGGGGGGGGUCCAUUUCUAGCAGACACGCAGUGUUAGGUGUGUCCACCCCUAGCAGACGCAUCGUGGGGGGUGUGUCCAUUCCUAGCAGACAUGCAGUGUUGGGUGUGUCAGAGAUGCCAACCACUACGAUUUAUCCGUUUUUUAUACGAAUUUCGAUUCCUUUUGCACCACUACGA
rnacentral:misc_RNA from 1 species